rnacentral:rRNA from 1 species
UCGCCUGUUUAUCAAAAACAUAGCUAUUAGAAUAAAUUAUAGUGUGUUCUGCUCAAUGAAUAUUAAAUAGCCGCAGUACCCUGACUGUGCAAAGGUAGCAUAAUCAGUUGGCUUAUAAUUGAAGUCUUGUAUGAAUGAAUGUAUGAGGAAUAGCUGUACUUUAUUACAUGAAAUUGCUAAGAAGUGCAAAUUCUUAUAAAUAAAUAAUAGACGAGAAGACCCUAGAUAAUAAUUUUUUGUUGGGGCAACGUAACAAGAAUUACAUUAACAUGAAAUAAUUUUAAAUUACUCUAGGGAUAACAGCGUAAUGUAUUAACGUUUGCGACCUCGAUGUUGGACUAGGAAACGAAUAC